rnacentral:rRNA from 1 species
AUACGUAGGGGGCAAGCGUUGUCCGGAAUUACUGGGUGUAAAGGGAGCGCAGGCGGGGGAGCAAGUCAGCUGUGAAAUGCAUGGGCUUAACCGAUGAACUGCAGUUGAAACUGUUCUUCUUGAGUGAAGUAGAGGUUGGCGGAAUUCCGAGUGUAGCGGUGAAAUGCGUAGAUAUUCGGAGGAACACCGGUGGCGAAGGCGGCCAACUGGGCUUUUACUGACGCUGAGGCUCGAAAGUGUGGGGAGCAAACAGGAUUAGAUACCCUGGUAGUCCACACUGUAAACGAUGAUUGCUAGGUGUGGGGGGUCUGACCCCUUCUGUGCCGCAGCUAACGCAAUAAGCAAUCCACCUGGGGAGUACGGCCGCAAGGCUGAAACUCAAAGGAAUUGACGGGG